AAGUGGGAGGGGUUUGUGAUGGACACACCUCAAGGCAAAGGUUAUAAUCCUCUGAUUUCUAUAUGCAGAACAGAGACUGGCAGGAUCUCUGGCAGAACUCAAGAAACACAAGACAAAGUGUGAUCCAGUGAAUGAACCUGGUGAGGCUGAAUCUGUGGACAACAAUGAUAAAAGCACAUCAGCAGGAAGAGAGUCUGAAAUCAAGUCUGUAGCACCUUCUGUGACCAAUGAGAAAGGAGUCAUGGAGGUCAACAAAAGCAGCAACGAAAGUAGUGAAGAGUCAGCAGAGGAGAGUGAAACACUGGAAGACUCUUCAACAGACGUGAUUCCUGAACUCACACUUGUGUUAAUUGGUGACACAAAGUCCAUUGAGAUUGGAUCAAAAAAUAUUUUACUUGACCAUGAAAAACAAGUACAUGUGGGACAGUUUUCAUCUAAACUGUAUGAUUUAUGUGGUCGGCACAUCUCUGUCAUUAACAUGCUUGGUCUACAAAACAUUGACACUGACACAUUCCCAUUAAAUAAGGGAAUUCACGCCUUUCUCUUACUGUUAACAAAUGGUCUGCAUAACAGCCAUUACAGUUCAGGACUGCAGUGGUUAGAAAAAGCUUUUGGGAAAGGAUCACUUUCCUAUUUAAUGACAGUUGUGACUCAUGAGUCAGAUGAAAAAUGUGAAAGUGCAUUGACAGACCUGAAAGCCAACAGCA